GGUUAAGCGACUAAGCGUACACGGUGGAUGCCCUGGCAGUCAGAGGCGAUGAAGGACGUGCUAAUCUGCGAUAAGCGUCGGUAAGGUGAUAUGAACCGUUAUAACCGGCGAUUUCCGAAUGGGGAAACCCAGUGUGUUUCGACACACUAUCAUUAACUGAAUCCAUAGGUUAAUGAGGCGAACCGGGGGAACUGAAACAUCUAAGUACCCCGAGGAAAAGAAAUCAACCGAGAUUCCCCCAGUAGCGGCGAGCGAACGGGGAGCAGCCCAGAGCCUGAAUCAGUGUGUGUGUUAGUGGAAGCGUCUGGAAAGGCGCGCGAUACAGGGUGACAGCCCCGUACACAAAAAUGCACAUGCUGUGAGCUCGAUGAGUAGGGCGGGACACGUGGUAUCCUGUCUGAAUAUGGGGGGACCAUCCUCCAAGGCUAAAUACUCCUGACUGACCGAUAGUGAACCAGUACCGUGAGGGAAAGGCGAAAAGAACCCCGGCGAGGGGAGUGAAAAAGAACCUGAAACCGUGUACGUACAAGCAGUGGGAGCCUCUUUUAUGGGGUGACUGCGUACCUUUUGUAUAAUGGGUCAGCGACUUAUAUUCUGUAGCAAGGUUAACCGAAUAGGGGAGCCGAAGGGAAACCGAGUCUUAACUGGGCGUUAAGUUGCAGGGUAUAGACCCGAAACCCGGUGAUCUAGCCAUGGGCAGGUUGAAGGUUGGGUAACACUAACUGGAGGACCGAACCGACUAAUGUUGAAAAAUUAGCGGAUGACUUGUGGCUGGGGGUGAAAGGCCAAUCAAACCGGGAGAUAGCUGGUUCUCCCCGAAAGCUAUUUAGGUAGCGCCUCGUGAAUUCAUCUCCGGGGGUAGAGCACUGUUUCGGCAAGGGGGUCAUCCCGACUUACCAACCCGAUGCAAACUGCGAAUACCGGAGAAUGUUAUCACGGGAGACACACGGCGGGUGCUAACGUCCGUCGUGAAGAGGGAAACAACCCAGACCGCCAGCUAAGGUCCCAAAGUCAUGGUUAAGUGGGAAACGAUGUGGGAAGGCCCAGACAGCCAGGAUGUUGGCUUAGAAGCAGCCAUCAUUUAAAGAAAGCGUAAUAGCUCACUGGUCGAGUCGGCCUGCGCGGAAGAUGUAACGGGGCUAAACCAUGCACCGAAGCUGCGGCAGCGACACUAUGUGUUGUUGGGUAGGGGAGCGUUCUGUAAGCCUGUGAAGGUGUACUGUGAGGUAUGCUGGAGGUAUCAGAAGUGCGAAUGCUGACAUAAGUAACGAUAAAGCGGGUGAAAAGCCCGCUCGCCGGAAGACCAAGGGUUCCUGUCCAACGUUAAUCGGGGCAGGGUGAGUCGACCCCUAAGGCGAGGCCGAAAGGCGUAGUCGAUGGGAAACAGGUUAAUAUUCCUGUACUUGGUGUUACUGCGAAGGGGGGACGGAGAAGGCUAUGUUGGCCGGGCGACGGUUGUCCCGGUUUAAGCGUGUAGGCUGGUUUUCCAGGCAAAUCCGGAAAAUCAAGGCUGAGGCGUGAUGACGAGGCACUACGGUGCUGAAGCAACAAAUGCCCUGCUUCCAGGAAAAGCCUCUAAGCAUCAGGUAACAUCAAAUCGUACCCCAAACCGACACAGGUGGUCAGGUAGAGAAUACCAAGGCGCUUGAGAGAACUCGGGUGAAGGAACUAGGCAAAAUGGUGCCGUAACUUCGGGAGAAGGCACGCUGAUAUGUAGGUGAAGUCCCUCGCGGAUGGAGCUGAAAUCAGUCGAAGAUACCAGCUGGCUGCAACUGUUUAUUAAAAACACAGCACUGUGCAAACACGAAAGUGGACGUAUACGGUGUGACGCCUGCCCGGUGCCGGAAGGUUAAUUGAUGGGGUCAGCGCAAGCGAAGCUCUUGAUCGAAGCCCCGGUAAACGGCGGCCGUAACUAUAACGGUCCUAAGGUAGCGAAAUUCCUUGUCGGGUAAGUUCCGACCUGCACGAAUGGCGUAAUGAUGGCCAGGCUGUCUCCACCCGAGACUCAGUGAAAUUGAACUCGCUGUGAAGAUGCAGUGUACCCGCGGCAAGACGGAAAGACCCCGUGAACCUUUACUAUAGCUUGACACUGAACAUUGAGCCUUGAUGUGUAGGAUAGGUGGGAGGCUUGGAAGUGUGGACGCCAGUCUGCAUGGAGCCGACCUUGAAAUACCACCCUUUAAUGUUUGAUGUUCUAACGUUGACCCGUAAUCCGGGUUGCGGACAGUGUCUGGUGGGUAGUUUGACUGGGGCGGUCUCCUCCUAAAGAGUAACGGAGGAGCACGAAGGUUGGCUAAUCCUGGUCGGACAUCAGGAGGUUAGUGCAAUGGCAUAAGCCAGCUUGACUGCGAGCGUGACGGCGCGAGCAGGUGCGAAAGCAGGUCAUAGUGAUCCGGUGGUUCUGAAUGGAAGGGCCAUCGCUCAACGGAUAAAAGGUACUCCGGGGAUAACAGGCUGAUACCGCCCAAGAGUUCAUAUCGACGGCGGUGUUUGGCACCUCGAUGUCGGCUCAUCACAUCCUGGGGCUGAAGUAGGUCCCAAGGGUAUGGCUGUUCGCCAUUUAAAGUGGUACGCGAGCUGGGUUUAGAACGUCGUGAGACAGUUCGGUCCCUAUCUGCCGUGGGCGCUGGAGAACUGAGGGGGGCUGCUCCUAGUACGAGAGGACCGGAGUGGACGCAUCACUGGUGUUCGGGUUGUCAUGCCAAUGGCACUGCCCGGUAGCUAAAUGCGGAAGAGAUAAGUGCUGAAAGCAUCUAAGCACGAAACUUGCCCCGAGAUGAGUUCUCCCUGACCCUUUAAGGGUCCUGAAGGAACGUUGAAGACGACGACGUUGAUAGGCCGGGUGUGUAAGCGCAGCGAUGCGUUGAGCUAACCGGUACUAAUGAACCGUGAGGCUUAACCUU
rnacentral:rRNA from 1 species